UACAGAGGUCCCAAGCGUUGUUCGGAUUCACUGGGCGUAAAGCGUGCGUAGGUGGUUCGUUAAGUCUGAUGUGAAAGCCCUGGGCUCAACCUGGGAAUGGCAUUGGAUACUGGCGACCUAGAGUGCGGUAGAGGGUAGCGGAAUUCCCGGUGUAGCAGUGAAAUGCGUAGAUAUCGGGAGGAACAUCCGUGGCGAAGGCGGCUACCUGGACCAGCACUGACACUGAGGCACGAAAGCGUGGGGAGCAAACAGG
rnacentral:rRNA from 1 species